GACGAACGCUGGCGGCGUGCUUAACACAUGCAAGUCGAACGGAAAGGCCCUGCUUUUGUGGGGUGCUCGAGUGGCGAACGGGUGAGUAACACGUGAGUAACCUGCCCUUGACUUUGGGAUAACUUCAGGAAACUGGGGCUAAUACCGGAUAGGAGCUCCUGCUGCAUGGUGGGGGUUGGAAAGUUUCGGCGGUUGGGGAUGGACUCGCGGCUUAUCAGCUUGUUGGUGGGGUAGUGGCUUACCAAGGCUUUGACGGGUAGCCGGGCUGAGAGGGUGACCGGCCACAUGGGGGAUGGGGUACGGCCCAGGCGCCGACGGGGGGCAGGAGUGGGGAAGAUUGCAGAAUGGGCGGAAGGCUGAUGCAGGAACGCCGGGGGGGGGAUGGGGGCCUUCGGGUUGUAAACCGCUUUCGCCUGUGACGAAGGGUGGGUGGGGGUAAUGGGGAAAGAAGCACGGGGGAGCUACGG
rnacentral:rRNA from 1 species